GAUGAACGCUGGCGGCGUGCCUAAUACAUGCAAGUCGAGCGAAAAGAUGAGGAGCUUGCUCCUCUGACGUUAGCGGCGGACGGGUGAGUAACACGUGGAUAACCUACCUAUAAGACUGGGAUAAAUUCGGGAAACCGGAGCUAAUACCGGAUAAUAUAUUGAACCGCAUGGUUCAAUAGUGAAAGACGGCUUUGCUGUCACUUAUAGAUGGACCCGGGCCGCAUUAGCUAGUUGGUAAGGUAACGGCUUACCAAGGCAACAAUGCGUAGCCGACUUGGGAGGGGGCACGCCCCCACAGAAGCUGAACCCCGUCCCAGCCUCCUAGGGAAGGCCGCGAUAGGAAAUCUUCCGCAAUGGGGGAAACCCUGACGAAGCAGCGCCAGGUGGGUGAAGAAGCUCUUCGUUUCGUAAACUCUGUUAUUAGGGAAGAACAAAUGUGUAAGUAACUAUGCACGUCUUGACGGUACCUAAUCAGAAAGCCACGGCUAACUACGUG
rnacentral:rRNA from 1 species